GGGGAAUAUUGGGCAAUGGGCGAAAGCCUGACCCAGCAACGCCGCGUGAAGGAAGAAGGUUUUCGGAUUGUAAACUUCUGUCCUCAGGGAAGAAGGAAGUGACGGUACCUGAGGAGGAAGCCCCGGCUAACUACGUGCCAGCAGCCGCGGUAAUACGUAGGGGGCAAGCGUUAUCCGGAAUUACUGGGCGUAAAGGGUGCGUAGGCGGUUUAUCAAGUCAGGGGUGAAAGGCUACGGCUCAACCGUAGUGAGCCUCUGAAACUGGUGAACUUGAGUGUAGGAGAGGAAAGUGGAAUUCCCAGUGUAGCGGUGAAAUGCGUAGAUAUUGGGAGGAACACCAGUGGCGAAGGCGACUUUCUGGACUACAACUGACGCUGAGGCACGAAAGCGUGGGGAGCAAACA
rnacentral:rRNA from 1 species